rnacentral:rRNA from 1 species
AGUGUACCCGCGGCAAGACGGAAAGACCCCGUGAACCUUUACUAUAGCUUGACACUGAACAUUGAGCCUUGAUGUGUAGGAUAGGUGGGAGGCUUUGAAGUGUGGACGCCAGUCUGCAUGGAGCCGGCCUUGAAAUACCACCCUUUAAUGUUUGAUGUUCUAACGUUGACCCGUGAUCCGGGUUGCGGACAGUGUCUGGUGGGUAGUUUGACUGGGGCGGUCUCCUCCUAAAGAGUAACGGAGGAGCACGAAGGUUGGCUAAUCCUGGUCGGACAUCAGGAGGUUAGUGCAAUGGCAUAAGCCAGCUUGACUGCGAGCGUGACGGCGCGAGCAGGUGCGAAAGCAGGUCAUAGUGAUCCGGUGGUUCUGAAUGGAAGGGCCAUCGCUCAACGGAUAAAAGGUACUCCGGGGAUAACAGGCUGAUACCGCCCAAGAGUUCAUAUCGACGGCGGUGUUUGGCACCUCGAUGUCGGCUCAUCACAUCCUGGGGCUGAAGUAGGUCCCAAGGGUAUGGCUGUUCGCCAUUUAAAGUGGUACGCGAGCUGGGUUUAGAACGUCGUGAGACAGUUCGGUCCCUA